rnacentral:rRNA from 1 species
AUUGAACGCUGGCGGCAGGCUUAACACAUGCAAGUCGAGCGAGCGGCGGACGGGUGAGUAAUGUCUGGGAAACUGCCUGAUGGAGGGGGAUAACUACUGGAAACGGUAGCUAAUACCGCAUACCAUCAGAUGUUCCCCAAUGGGAUUAUCUAGUAGGUGGGGUAAUGGCUCACCUAGGCGACGAUCCCUAGCUGGUCUGCGAGGAUGACCAGCCACACUGGAACGGAGACACGGUCCAGACUCAUACGGGAGGCAGCAGUGGGGAAUAUUGCACAAUGGGCGCAAGCCUGAUGCAGCCAUGCCGCGUGUGGGAAUAAGGCCUUCGUGUUGUAAAGCACUUUCAGCGAGGAGGCGUUACUCGCAGAAGAAGCACCGGCUAACUCCGUGCCAGCAGCCGCGGUAAUUC